rnacentral:pre_miRNA from 1 species
CUAAAAUUAUAGCACGAGUGUUCGGUCUAGUCACUGACUCCUAAAACAAACACAGAGACUAUACCGACAAUCGCCAUUUAAUUUUAAAAA